UCUGACUCCAAAACACUAACCAAGCUUCUUUUGAAUUCUCAAAGCUUUGAUGGUGUAGCCGAAGUCUGUAUGAUUCUUUGGCUUUGUAUCUUUUAACA
rnacentral:sRNA from 1 species